UUUCCUUGACUCUGCAGUCUGGAAAACUGCUGCGUUGGAAUCCAAACAUGGCAGCAGCAUUCUAUGUUGCAUCUAGCUUGCUUUGUGAUUUUGCCCAUGCUUUGAAUCUUCUGAUGGACGACAAACCCCGGAUGAUGGCACAGUCGUUAACAAAACAAGUCACCCAUUUGUUCAGACGAUGCCAUCCUUCGAGCACACAACCAGCACCAGAAAGCCCACAAGCUCCC